UAAUCGCAGAAUUCAGCCAACAUCUAGACUAUUAGAAGGGCUGCAAAGCUCGUUGAUGGUCUCAAAAAUUCCAUCUGUCUCGCAUGACAAAAGCUAUAAAAGCAGGAAUGCUUUUAGGGGGAAUAACCAUGGUUGAAAGAUCCUGGAAAUGUUGGAUCAUAUUCAAAGAAGUUCGAUGAUCACUGGAACACACUCUAGUAGUUUGUGUAUAUUUUAAAUAGGGGAGAUAGCUAGGAAUGGCAAUUCUUGCUUCCUUGAGUUUAAUUAUGAGAUGUAGUUGGUAGAUGUUCAUAUCGAUUUUAGUUUAUUCACAAUUAUGAUUUAAUCUCCUUGGCUUUUGCCUUAGUAGGUUGUAUAUGGAAAUUCUCCA
rnacentral:misc_RNA from 1 species